GAUCUUGUCGUAUUAAUGAGGAAGGUUGUGCUGAUCUGAGUUCAGCUCUGAGAUCAAACCCGUCUCAUCUGAGAGAACUGGACCUGAGUAAGAAUUACUUUACAGAAUCAGGAGUGAAACAGCUUUCAGAUCUACUAAAACAUCCUCAGUGUAAACUGCAGAAACUGGGGUUGAGAUCUUGUGGUAUCAGUGAGAGAGGUUGUGCUGUUCUGAGUUCAGUUCUGAGAUCAAACCCGUCUCAUCUGAGAGAACUGGACCUGAGUAACAAUAGCAUUACAGAUCCAGGAGUGAAGCAGCUUUCAGAUCUACUAAAACAUCAUCAGUGUGAACUGGAGAAACUGUGGUUGAGAUCUUGUUAUAUUAGUGAGAGAGGUUGUGCUGAUCUGAGUUCAGUUCUGAGAUCAAACCCGUCUCAUCUCAGAGAACUGGACCUGAGUAACAAUAACAUUACAGAUUCAGGAGUGAAGCAGCUUUCAGAUCUA